GACGAACGCUGGCGGCGUGCUUAACACAUGCAAGUCGAACGGAAAGGCCCUGCUUUUGUGGGGUGCUCGAGUGGCGAACGGGUGAGUAACACGUGAGUAACCUGCCCUUGACUUUGGGAUAACUUCAGGAAACUGGGGCUAAUACCGGAUAGGAGCUCCUGCUGCAUGGUGGGGGUUGGAAAGUUUCGGCGGUUGGGGAUGGACUCGCGGCUUAUCAGCUAGUUGGUGGGGUAGAGGCUUACCAAGGCUUUGACGGGUAGCCGGCCUGAGAGGGUGACCGGCCGCACUGGGAGUGAGACACGGUCCAGACGCCUACGGGAGGCAGCAGUGGGGAAUAGGGGACAAUGGGCGGAAGCCUGAUCCAGCCAUCCCGCGUGGGUGAAGAAGGCCUUCGGGUUGGAAAGGCCGUUUGUGGGGAAAGAAAAGCAGCAGGUUAAUACCCCGCUGUUCUGACGGUACCCAAAGAAGAAGCACCGGCUAACUUCGUG
rnacentral:rRNA from 1 species